UACGUAGGUGGCAAGCGUUGUCCGGAAUUAUUGGGCGUAAAGAGCUCGUAGGCGGUUUGUCGCGUCUGCUGUGAAAACCUAAGGCUCAACCUUGGGCUUGCAGUGGGUACGGGCAGACUAGAGUGCGGUAGGGGUGACUGGAAUUCCUGGUGUAGCGGUGGAAUGCGCAGAUAUCAGGAGGAACACCGAUGGCGAAGGCAGGUCACUGGGCCGCAACU
rnacentral:rRNA from 1 species